rnacentral:rRNA from 1 species
AUACGGAGGGUGCAAGCGUUGUUCGGAUUUAUUGGGCGUAAAGCGAGUGUAGGCGGUUUGACAAGUCGAAUGUGAAAUCCCGAGGCCCAACCUCGGAACUGCAUCCGAAACUGUCAGGCUAGAGUCCCGGAGAGGAUGGCGGAAUUCCCGGUGUAGGGGUGAAAUCCGUAGAUAUCGGGAGGAACACCAGUGGCGAAGGCGGCCAUCUGGACGGUGACUGACGCUGAGACUCGAAAGUGUGGGUAGCAAACAGGAUUAGAUACCCUAGUAGUCC